UAUUUUUCGAAAAAAUUGCAU
rnacentral:piRNA from 1 species